AGGACUACUGUCAAGAUAACUUCCAGAGGAUAUAUGUAAAACAGUUGAGCUGAGAAUUUAGGCCUCCGUUAAGUUCACUUGUUAGUCACAUUUCUAGUUGGUGCUGUUAUUUCACCUUCAUGCUCAGACAUGCGUCUUUUCCUCCUCUCAGCUUCCCCUCUUCCCACCAUCUGGUUUCAUUGCACUGCACACUCUCAUAAUCAGAUAAAAGGAAGACGGUUUAAAGCAGUUACCUGACAUUUACAGUUUUAGAUUUUGUUCCUGAAAACAUCAGCAUUCUUGGAUUUUUAACAGCUGAAGUUUGAACUGGAUGAAGAGAAAAUGACUGCAAUGACUGAGUCGCUUUGCUGCACUUUGCUGCUUUUUGUCUGCGUGUUUGCAGCUGGUGAAGUGUUUGGCCCACCUGUCAGCCCCCAGUGUCCUGCUAUCGGCCAAGGUUAUCCACCAGACUGAGACAGUUCAUCUCAUCUCUGAGCAGCUGGAUCGUGUAGUGGAAAAACUACACACCUUUGGAGUGUGAGUCGCAAGUACAAUUCCCACUUGGUGUGCAAGAAAAACACAGCUGAGUCUGGAAAGAACGUUACUCUGACAUGUCGAGCUUUAAACACCAUCAUAGGUGUAGUGGAGUGGAGCAGACCUGAUCUAAAUCAAACAUAUGUCCUUUUGUACCGGGAUGGGCACUUUGAUUCAGCCAACCAGCAUCCAUCAUUUAAGAACCGGGUGGAUCUGCAGGAUAGACAGAUGAAGGAUGGAGACGUGUCUCUGAUUCUGAAGAAUGUGACGAUUAAUGACACUGGAACAUAUGAGUGUCGUGUCAGAGGAGAAAAUAAGUCAAAGAACAAAGCUAAUCUAAGUGGUGACUCCAUCUGCAUCAUCUACCUGAGUGUUGAUCCUCCAGGUCAGACAGGAGGACUCAUCAUUGGUCUUUCAGUUGUUGCUGUGGUGUUUUCUGCUGGUGCUGUUCUUUUUUUGCUCUAUAGAAAACAUAAACAAUGCAAUCAGGUCUCACAUCCUCCUCCUGCUGAACCACAGAUUGAAUUUUCAGAGACUUUUCUCAACUCUAAAUCUCCUGCUGCUGAAUACAAUGACAGAAAUGACCUGGAAGCAAACAACUGCCACGAACAAUCCACAAGGAUCCCUGAUGUCACUCUGACACUUGAGAAAGAACUACUUCAUCCUCCUCAGGAAACAGCUGGACCACUUUCAGAGAGUGACAUGAGAGUGCAGUAGAUAAUGUCUGACAGCAGUUUGAAGAGGAAAUGGAUUCUGUUCUGUUCUUCACUCAUCACCUACCUGACAGCUGACACCUCACACCUGUUUCUCACCCCUACUAGGAAGCGUCAGCAUGGGAGAGAAGAUAACUGCACCAUUUAGACUCAUCAUCACUCUGUCAGUUUUUGCUGUGCUUCAUGUUGGUGGGUUUUGACCUACAGAAACAUGAAGACAAACAGACUCACCUGAAACAGCAUGUCUGAAAUUUCUCUAAUGUUUUUGUUUCUUUGUUGUUGUUGUUGUUGUUUUUUUAACACUAUGAAUGUCCAGCUUAACGUUCAUUACUCUGUGUUUUGUGACAAACUUUAAGGUAACCUGUAUGUCACAUUUUGUUUUUACUGAGUACUAAGAACAACAGUUAAUCAAACUGAAUAAUGCUGUGAGAAGUAUUGUUUUUUCCGAAGGUUUUAUCUGACAUUUGCUUUGUUCUGAAGGCCUGGGCCUGGUUUCAUCCUGAUAAAAAAUAUUUUUUCUUUU